rnacentral:miRNA from 1 species
AGAACAGGGAGACGGAGCGCUGCGCAGCCUUCGGGGACAGCCUUCGAAGCCUCUGCAGGGCAGCGGGAUGCCUUUACCCCACUGCCCUGUGGAGGCUAUGCGCAGCCAUCCCCAAGCUAGAACAGCGAGACGGAGCGCUGCGCAGCGCUCCGUCUCCCUGUUCU